rnacentral:rRNA from 1 species
AAUAUUGGACAAUGGGGGCAACCCUGAUCCAGCCAUGCCGCGUGUGUGAAGAAGGUCUUCGGAUUGUAAAGCACUUUUGGCAGGGAAGAAAAGGCGCGGGCUAAUACCCGGCGCCGCUGACGGUACCUGCAGAAUAAGCACCGGCUCACUACGUGCCAGCAGCCGCGGUAAUACGUAGGGUGCAAGCGUUAACCGGAAUUACUGGGCGUAAAGCGUGCGCAGGCGGUUCGGCAAGAAGGAUGUGAAAUCCCGGGGCUUAACCUCGGAACUGCAUUCUUAACUGCCGGGCUAGAGUAUGUCAGAGGGGGGUAGAAUUCCACGUGUAGCAGUGAAAUGCGUAGAGAUGUGGAGGGAUACCGAUGGCGAAGGCAGCCCCCUGGGAUGAUACUGACGCUCAUGCACGAAAGCGUGGGGAGCAAAC